UUAUAGCAGUGCCGUCGAACGGUCACCUCACUUAGAUCACCCCGGUCGCACCAUCAAUCGUGCCGCGGUGACUGUAUGAUCACGACUUCGUCCCUUGUGCUAGGUAUUGAGGUGGAGGAGGCGUAGGAGGCUGUGCGUCCUGUUUUAGUAAAAAUAGAAACAAACUAAGGAGCACUUCGACUUCGAAUAAAAUCCUUCGCCGUUUACCUCGUUCGGUGUGGUAUAAACGAACGUAGUCGUCGUCGGACGGUCCCGGUUCCUCCUCCUCUAGAGUGAGACCUCGACCCAAGGGACACAAAGUCGGUCUACUACGAUUAGCUAGAGCAUUUGGAAGAAGAGAGUCGGUAGAUACAGAGCUCGAACGACUAGCGGCGAACGUUCUCCCUCAAGUCCCGGCAGUCCCGUCCCCUGGAAGGUAAAGGCACGCGACACCGAAGGGGGACGACGCGCAAAGAACCGUAACGGACGCAGACGGACCCUGACCCUCGUACCCCGAGGAGAGGGGUGCCUCGUGGCGAGAAGAAGGACUCUCCGAAACACACCCAGAGGGACAGCCACAGGAACCAGCAGGCAGGCUGCUCUGAGAGGCCUCGACACCGCUACCGCACCACCCGCCACCUGCGACAAGAGUAGUGCCGGUUGACAAACCUCUUCUAACGCUGCGCUCGUUUAGACCCUCAAGAACUGCAUCACAGCACCCAACAACGCAACAACGAAGACGACUCGCGCUGGGCUCAAACGUCUGCGGAGCGGCCACGGCGGCGGCCGCUACCUCCGCCGCGCCUCAGGCUCGGAGAGGAACGCCGCCCCCCGCCCCUCUCCGCCCGCCGCAAGCUGCUCCGGCCUAAGAAGUCGGCGGACUGCAAGUGCACCUACCUGAGCGAGGACGCGGAACCCAUGAGGUUCGGCGACCCGGAGCCGCUGUAGGGCGACGAGCUGCGGCUGCUGCGCCGGCGCCUCCGCACGGCAUUCAAGGAGACGCUCACCGUAGCUGCCUCCUCCCUCAGCUUAUUUUGCUCGUUGGAGCACGAGGCCCACGAGCGGCUCACGGUGUUCUUCCUCGACGAGGACUGCCGCGAGAUGUGCAACGACGCGUGUGACAGGAAGCGGCGCAGCGGCCACUACGACAUGACGAAGCACAGUAUGAGGUUAGCCGUCCUCGUCCUCGCCCUAGAACCGUGGUCCCGGCGCGAGCAGCGGCCGGAAGACCGGUACUUCGACCACCUCAGCGACAGCGUCUCCGUGACCAAGAAGCCCAGCUCCGCCGACCCGUACGCGUACGCGAGCCGGGAGUACCGGCGGCAGAAGCUCUUCGUCGACGUCGACAGGUCGCUCCCCGCCCCCGCCGUGAGCAGACCGCUCUAGCGGUUGAUGUAGCGGCACCUGCGCAUGGCCGAGCCGCUCAAGGGCAUGACCGACGUGGACCGUACCUCGUACGGCCACGUCGACCAGGAGCGGUAGCGCGAGGACAAGACCUAGCACCCGCGGCCGCGCGAGGGCCGCGACCGGGGGUACCGGUAGACGCCGCACGAGUUGCAGGGAAAGCGGUCCUACGACGUCGUCAUGGUCACCUCCAAGUACGUCCGCGUCCUGCUCGCCGUCGCGCGGUGCCGCCUCCACGACGUGUCGUACUUCUAGCACUUCGACGUCAGCACCCUCCUGUUCAAGUCCCGCUGCCACGUCGCCGACGCGCUGCGGCUCCACGCCACCGAGCCGCUCUGCGUCGAGUUCUUCCGGAUGCCGUCGCGCGAGAUGACCCACAGCGGCUGCCAGUAGAGGCGGCACCAGAACCGCCCGUGCCGGCGCCAGGUCUCGCGCGGGGACCUGCGGUCGCACCACAAGUGGCACGAGCGGUGGUACGCGCAGCAGAGCCUCGGGUACUCCUACGACGGGCUCCAGUACAGUCAGUACUAGGUCCAGUUCCACAGCGACCUGGCGUAGCCCUUCAAGGACUGGCUCCUGCUCAAGGUUCUGCUGCGGCACCUGUCCUGCGGCCGCAGGCUGUUCUCGGACCUGUACGUGUUGCCGCAGAAGUCGACCCUCGGGUCGUUCCCGUGGCGUUGGGACUUUCUGUAGUUGUAGUGGCGUUGGGCGCCGGUCUUCUAGCGGCAGACGCCCGGACAGCCACGGCCUUUUAGCAGCAACGACACGCGCUGCGAGCCGCUCUAGGGUUCUUACAGGCCUAGUCACCGGCACUCACCGAGCCACCGGAUACACAGGGUCUGCAGCACCUAAGUCUCGCCGUGCCACGCGCUGUUGUAGGAGAAGCCCUUCGGCUACUCCUCAAGUCUCAUGCUCUCCCGGGACUUCACGACGCGCGACCUGUUCCUGUACCUCUUGAAGGGCGUGCCGCUGGACUGCCUCUAGCCCGUCUCCCCGGAGUUGUACUCGCCGCCCGUCUUCGUCUCCUAGGUCGAGCGUUCCCGGCAGAUGUUGCUGCGCCUGCAGAUAGAGGAGCUGCUGGGAAAGUCGCGGCAGCUGCGCGUGUGGCGGCGGUGGGAAAAGUUGCUGACACAGUACCGCCGCGAGCUCCUGUUCUGCCAGUAGGAACAUUGCGUAGUUCAACUCAAGGAGAGGUUCCAACUGUCUUAAAACCAGUACCUCUUCCCGCUCUAUUGCGUCCUCCCUUGGAUGCUCCUCGAGGACGUCAAGCCGUGCCGCAAGCUUGUCGAACAGUUGCGAGUGGUCCUGAGUUUUUGUUGUGACCUGAGGUUACAUAGGUUUCUUCCUCGGUACUAAGUCAUGGUUGUUGGCUAGGAUGGCGUCGUCCCGUCGCUGCGGCUCUAGAGGUGGCCGUUGGACGGCAGCCAGGUCGACUGGGUUCUCCUCCUCUCCCUCGACCCUCCUCGGCCGGACUUUUGUAUGUUCCUGAUGCACAGUCACAGGUUCCCGACCAAGGAGGAACAGGACUAUUAUGAGUGUGUCACGCACAAGCAGCGGGACGUUAUGGAGCGUUGGAUGACCGAGCGUCGCUGCUAGGUUUCGGCAGCCAAGUCGCAGCCCUAGCAGCACCCUCAGAUGCGCCACUACUGUUGGUGGUCGACGGACAAACGGAUACACUCCUCGGAACAGCGACGGGUGAAGCCGGAGUUCCGCAGCUCCCUCAAGAAGAGCCCAAAGUACCUAAGGCACAAGUUCCGGGGGUACGACAAGAAACUGAGAUGGGGCUGGCCUUCCUAGUACUGGGCCCGGAGUAGCCUAAACACGUAGAACCUGAAGCUGUAGGGCAAGUGCUACUGGAAACACUAUAGGCCGUGCCAACUCCACCGCCGUUGGCACCACCAUUACUAGUACCAAUGUACCGUUCAGCAAGACCAACGACAAGGACGACACUAACCCCAAGACAUGUAAGUCUCUAUGAUGUAACGGAGGCGGUCUCUCAACCACUCCUAGUUACCGUGGUGUUUCCGCGGGCACUACUUGAUGCGACGACUCAGCUACGAGCCUCACCAGUGGUAUUCCCGGAAACGUCGCUGUUUAUCCAAGUAAGUCUGUUUAGAAGUCGAGUAGCUGUACCUACGUUGUUACAAGAAGAUGUGCUUACGUCGCGAUCUCACCCACGAAGACGCACAGCUCCGCUACGUCUAGAACCAGUAACAAUGUAGCAGGUAAGAAGAGCAUUACGAUGGCCGUCCUAGUCAACGAGGUCCUAAAGAACCCGAUACGGAGAGUAUACGGAACUGUGAAAGAAGGCGCGUUCACAAGAACUGCGCUAAGAUGAGUUUAGACCUCUUAAUAUACUAUAGUCACCUCUCUUAGUUUGUCAAGUACGUAAAUGGUAGGCUCGGGGGCCGACAAUAGUCACUGUCUUCCGGACGAGGAAGUACCGGUAGACUUCCUUUCUAUUUAGACCUCUUGAACUCUCAGUUCAUAGCGCUUUUACGCGGAUGCCAAAACGCGCCCUAGUGAACGUGUAAACGUCGACCUUUGUUCUAACCUCAACAACCUUCUUGGCCCUCGCCCUUCUGGUGAGAGGACUCGCGCAACAAGGCGGAGUAGCUGGGGAGGCCGCCCGCUUAAGAGUAGCUGCUACAGCUGUAAACGUGGUAUCCUGACUUCCUGGAAUCCUACUUUGAGUCGUAGUAAGGAGUCCUCGGUUGCGAAAAGUCCCCGUCACAUUCCUCGUUGCAGCUAGGAGACCCAGACAUGUGUCUAGUCCUAUAGACCCUCCGCAACCUAUUCACGGUCAACUUCUUCUGUUAGUCACAGGAAGGACUUGAAGAACUCACUCGCUACUGCCUCUCUUGACCUCGCGCCCGGUUGCCGUCGAGAAGACGGAGCGCGCGCAGGAGGAGUCGUCCUUGUCCUAGGACCAGGAGCUGCUCCGCUGCCGCAGCUAGCUGAGCCGGUGGCUGCGGUAGGACGUCUCCCAGUAGUUCGUCCUCAAGAGUCCCACGUGCCACUAGUGGUAUCGUGUGUCCCAAGGGUGGCAGUGUCUGUCACUAUAUCAGUACCAAGAAAGGAUGCCAUUCGAAUAUCUCAUGCUGUCCGGUAGUUCCGACUACCUUUUACUCCUGAGUAGUAAGAAAUUCGAGCAGCGGCUCAUGACCAGGUUGAUAUUCACUUGCGUCUUUUAAGUUAUUUAAGCAGCCGACAUCCGAUGUUGAGAAGUGUAUGGCUCACUUUUAAAACCUGGAUUUUUAACAAACCUUUUCUAUCCCUACCUCUACAUACUGUGUUACUAGGUUUACAUACAACCUUCAAUCAUCUUUUAUACUCAACUUUAUACGUCAACCUAACACCACCAGC
rnacentral:rRNA from 1 species